rnacentral:rRNA from 1 species
GAUGAACGCUGGCGGCGUGCCUAAUACAUGCAAGUCGAGCGAACAGAUGAGGAGCUUGCUCCUCUGACGUUACCGGCGGACGGGUGAGUAACACGUGGAUAACCUACCUAUAAGACUGGGAUAACUUCGGGAAACCGGAGCUAAUACCGGAUAAUAUAUUGAACCGCAUGGUUCUAUAGUGAAAGACGGUUUUGCUGUCACUUAUAGAUGGAUCCGCGCCGCAUUAGCUAGUUGGUAAGGUAACGGCUUACCAAGGCAACGAUGCGUAGCCGACCUGAGAGGGUGAUCGGCCACACUGGAACUGAGACACGGUCCAGACUCCUACGGGAGGCAGCAGUAGGGAAUCUUCCGCAAUGGGCGAAAGCCUGACGGAGCAACGCCGCGUGAGUGAUGAAGGUCUUCGGAUCGUAAAACUCUGUUAUUAGGGAAGAACAAAUGUGUAAGUAACUAUGCACGUCUUGACGGUACCUAAUCAGAAAGCCACGGCUAACUACGUG